AGAGGGUGUAGUGAUAGCAUUCUUAUAAAUGCUGUGGCUGCUUAGCCACUGGAUCCUACUUGCUUGCCUGUCUCCAUUGCAGCUGUUAACCUAUGCACCCUCUCUGUUGGAGCUGAGGCCUUAAGGAUAUACCAGGCACUACAGACAGUAAUUAUCUGAGGGGUCCAUCUUCUCCAGACUGGCUUGGAUUGCAAGAAGCUGCAUCUUCCUACAGAACUAUUGUGAUAAAAAUGUGAAACAACACGGGGUCCCAGUUCAGACCUGAAUGAGGUACCAAAGGUGAUUUUUGCACCACUGAUGCUCACUCUCCAGCACCAUACUGCAACCAGAUGCCCCAUUCACUUGACGAGGUGUGCUGCCAACAGGACUGGCAUUUUUGCUAUUGACCAACAUUAGCUGGCAUGGUUACAAGAGUCUGGACAGCCAGUUAAUCCUUAAAGAUAUGUCUUCUUUGAUUGUGUGCUAUAACAUUAUUCUUGCAAGUACUAUUUUCUAAAGGACUUCUGAAGCAAUAGAAAAAGCCGUAAAUUGCUUUCCAUUGCUAGGAAAAGUCAUGUGUCUGUUUAAGUAUACAAGCAUCUUCAGAGGGUUAUUUGUGAUUGCAACAUUUUCAGACUCAAUAGAGUCACAUAAUAAAGCAAACCCUUUCUAAGCAUUUGAGUGUCCUUUCUCUGCUGUUUGAAGCACACAGAUGAAGAUAAAGAUACACUGGGGAGGAAAACAUAUUUCUCCCAGAGAAGAAGAACAGGGUAUGUGAAGUGUUAAAAAACUCA
rnacentral:lncRNA from 1 species